AGAGAGAGACAUGCGCGCAUAUCAAUAAGCGGAGGAAAAGAAACUAACAAGGAUUCCCUUAGUAACGGCGAGUGAAGCGGGAAGAGCUCAAAUUUGAAAUCUUCAAGGUUCUACCUUGACGAAUUGUAGUUUAUAAGAAGUGUUUUCUGUUAGUGGGUUUGGUAAAAAGUUCUUUGGAAUAGGACAUCAUAGAGGGUGAGAAUCCCGUAUUUGGUCAUUCCUCCUAGCGUUGUGAUACACUUUCAACGAGUCGGAUUGUUUUGGGAAUGCAGUCCAAAAUGGGUGGUAAAUUUCAUCUAAAGCUAAAUAUUGGCGAGAGACCGAUAGCGAACAAGUACCGUGAGGGAAAGAUGAAAAGAACUUUGAAAAGAGAGUUAAACAGUACGUGAAAUUGUCAAAAGGGAAGCGUUUGACACCAGUGUUGUUUUUUCCGAAAAUCAAUUACGAAUGUUUUGUUUUUUGAGGAGUUAUGACUUCAUCGGCUUGCUCCUUUCUUUAUGAAACUUUCUUAAUGCACUUUUCGGUUAACAAGUCAACAUCAAUUUCUUUUGUUGUAAAAGGGUAUGAGGAAGGUGGCUUUCUUUUCGGAGAAAGUGUUUUAUAGCCUUGUGCCUCUGCAAUCGGAGAGAUUGAGAUCUGCAGCGUAGAUCCUUCGGGGUUAGAUACGUUUGUGCUAAGUUAUAGCUUUUCAUAGACAACUUGUUGACUAUGUUUAGUCUUGUAGCUUACUCGCUGACGCUAUUUUACCUACGCUUAGGAUGUUGAUAGUCACAGCGUGUAC
rnacentral:rRNA from 1 species